rnacentral:rRNA from 1 species
AAGUUAAGUGCUCUUACGCCAAUGGUACUGCAUCUCAAGAUGUGGGAGAGUAGGUAACCGCCAAAC